rfam:Marvinbryantia formatexigens DSM 14469 B_formatexigens-1.0.1_Cont21.1, whole genome shotgun sequence.
AGGAACAGAGAUAAAAACACAACGUAAGGGAUAACAUUUCUUACAGAGCCGGUAGGUAGUCCGGCCGCACCGCUAUGGCUGUCAUGCAUCCGUAAGGAACUGCCAGUGACAACUGCUGCAGGUGUAAGUAACCCUCCCUCCUUGGGUCGUCCGUUCUUUGUUCAGUACAA